rnacentral:lncRNA from 1 species
CCUGGGAAAAGGGCUGAAUCUCCUAUGAUCAAGCGGAUGGCUUUGUUCGAGUCAGACAGGCAGACAAACUCCUUCCCAACAAACAGGAGAUGAAACAAAAUUCUCUGCAAAGUGAAAUCAAAUGCAUAAUAGCUGAGCCUGCAAAGGAAAUGCCCUGAACUCGCCUGCUCAGAUCACUUGGCUGCUACCUUACCCCUCACUAAUUGGCCAGGAGAACUGCUCAACUCUUCAUAGCAAG